UACGUAGGGUGCAAGCGUGUCCGGAAUUAUUGGGCGUAAAGAGCUCGUAGGCGGUUUGUCGCGUCUGCUGUGAAAACUCAGGGCUUAACCCUGAGCCUGCAGUGGGUACGGGCAGACUAGAGUGUGGUAGGGGAGAUCGGAAUUCCUGGUGUAGCGGUGGAAUGCGCAGAUAUCAGGAGGAACACCGGUGGCGAAGGCGGAUCUCUGGGCCAGUAACUGACGCUGGAGGAGCGAAAGCAUGGGGAGC
rnacentral:rRNA from 1 species